UUAAUUGAAGCCAAAAAUUAGGCUUUUCAUUGUUAAUGAAAUUAUUGAUUAAAUUAUUAAUCCAAUUAAA
rnacentral:tRNA from 1 species